AUUGUUGCAAAAAACUUUAACUGCUGUUUACUCAAACUCAAAAUCACAUUUUACGCAUACCACUUCAGCUUUGAAACCCUCAUAUUUAUUAAUGUGUAGAAGAGAAACAAUAACAAAUCAGUUUAUUUUUUACUAUUAUUGGCAUCGAGUAUCGACAACAUAUUUAUUUCAAUAACGUAGUACUGCUCCUUAGUUGCCCCUUUGAUUUAUUUACUGAAGGAGGUUGAUGAACUUUAAGAUAAUUGCAAAAAUAAUCUGAUAAUCAAUUUGUUAUUAUUGCGUUAAAAGUGUUGUGACGGUUAUUGUAGCCACAAGAUGCCUAUGCAAAAAUUAGACUUUUGGAAAUAUUAUAAGACUACUAAAAGUGGUGAAAACAAAAAUAAAGUAAUUUGCAAGUUUUGCUCACAGACCUAUUCGUUUCCAAAUGGUACGCGAAUGAGCAACCACUUAUUAAAAUGUUUGAAGUAUCCAGAGAAAAUUAAGGAAUCACUAGGCCCAAUGUCUGCACAGGGUAAGCUCAAUCGUGGGUCUUGUAGUAAUACUGAUGUUUAUGAAGAUGCUGGAGGCGGUGACAACAAUAAUUUAGGUCAAGAUGAUACAAACAUUGACAUGGAAGUUGUGGAUAUUGAUAUUGAUACGAGCCUUACAUCGCCAUCGACAAGUUCAUUUAGUACUUUAAGUGGUGUUGAUGUUGAUGCUGGAGGCAGCACUGGAAACGUUAAGGACAUUAAUGUUAUGACCGGCAGGAAGAUCAUUAAACACUCACGUAUGGAACAAUCGAGCAUAAUAUCAUUCACAGAUCGAAUCUCAAAGAAGGAGCAAAUGCCGCCUUUGCAAGAGCUAUUUAUGCUGGGGCCUUACCGCUUUCCAUUUUUUCUGAAAACCCUUUGUGGAAUGUCGCAUUUAAUAUUUUGCGGCCAUCCUAUAAACCACCGAACUUACAUAGUUUACGGAAACCAUUACUAGAAGCAGAAUAUGCUCGUAUUAUGAAAUUAGCCGAAGAGAAGGUUUAGAACUCUCAAUGUUUAACUCUCAUAUCAGAUGGUUGGACUAAUAUUCGUAGAGAUGGAGUAGUAAAUUUUCUUUUAGCCACCCCCGACGUUGUAUUUUACAAAUCCAUUGAGCCCGGAGAAAACAGAGAAACUGGACAAUAUAUUGGGCAACAAUUCGUUAAUGUUAUUAAUGAUGUUAGAAGCGCAAAUGUUUUGUUAAUAGUCACAGAUAAUGCUAGCAAUAUGGGAGUUGCAUGGAAUAUGGUCAGAUCUGAGUUUCCUCACAUCUUUACGAUCGGAUGUGUUGCCCACGGGCUCAGUUUAUUAGCAAAAGACAUUAUGAGGAUUCCUCGGCUAUCCGAUUUAAGAAAUAAGGCUAAAACGGUUGUAAAAAACAUUAAAAACAAACGAGUCUCCCUUGCAGUAUUUCGCAAAAAACGAAAGGAAAAGUAUGGAAAUAAAGCCGUUGCUUUAAAAAUGCCAAAUCCAACCAGAUUUGCAGGAGACGAGAUUCUUUUCAGCUCCUUAAAACUUAACAAAGCUGCCUUAUAAGAAACUCUAAUUUCGAAAGACGUCAUAAUAGAAGAUUCAGUACGAAGAGAAAUCCUUUGCAAUACGUUUUGGCAAGAUAUUACUAUAGCAGGAGAACUUCUGAAGCCUAUUGCCAGGGGUAUAAAAGUUUUAGAGGGCGAUUCUCCUAAUUUAUUACUUGUUCCAAGAGUGUUAAUAGACAUAAAAGUUCAAACAAUCAAUAGCCUAAAAAGGCAGUCAUCAUUAAUAAAUAGCAGUACUUCAAAUACUAUACUAAAACAAGUAGCAAAAAGAAUUUGCUGUAAGAAUCUACACAAGGCCGCUUAUUUUGUAGAUUCUCGAUUUAGAGGACAGGGUCUUUCAGACGAGGAUUGCCUGGACUGCCUUAAAGUUAUUAAACAUAUUUCAAAUCAUAUUGAUCUACCAGCUGAUAAGGUGAUUGCCAACGCGGCUAUGUAUAAAUCAAAAUCAGGUUUUUACGGAAGACCAAUUUGGUGGGAAGUUGCAAGUCAAAACGAUUGUGAUCCAGUAUCAUGGUGGAAAGGUCUCUGUGCAAACCAACUACUGCAACCAAAAAAAAAUUUAAUAUUUCCUUUUUUUGGUUUUUUUCAACACUUCCUAAAUAAAACAGGAAAAAAACCGUUUUUUUCCGUGCUGUUAAAACACUAAA